AGGACGAACGCUGGCGCGGCGCUUAACGGACGAUGCAAGUCGAGCGAGAACUGGUCCUUGGGACUGGGGAAAGCGGCGAACGGGUGAGUAACACGUGGGUAAUCAACCCCUGGCACCGGGAUAGCCCGAGGAAACUCGGAUUAAUACCGGAUGGCCCAACAGCUCUUCGGGGCGGUUGGAAAAGGUAGCUUCGGCCUCCGGCCAAAGGACGAGCCCGCGGCGGAUUAGCUUGUUGGUGAGGUAACGGCCCACCAAGGCGACGAUCCGUAGCUGGUCUGAGAGGACGAUCAGCCACACUGGGACUGAGACACGGCCCAGACUCCUACGGGAGGCAGCAGUGGGGAAUCUUGCACAAUGGGCGAAAGCCUGAUGCAGCGACGCCGCGUGAGGGAAGAAGGCUUUCGGGUUGUAAACCUCUUUCAGGGGGGACGAAGCUCCUCGGGUUAAUAGCCCAGAGGGUGACGGUACCUUCAGAAGAAGCCCCGGCUAACUACGCGCCAGCAGCCGCGGUAA
rnacentral:rRNA from 1 species